rnacentral:misc_RNA from 1 species
GAUGAAGAACGUAGCGAAAUGCGAUAAGUAAUGUGAAUUGCAGAAUUCGGUGAAUCAUCGAAUCUUUGAACGCACAUUGCGCCCGCCAGUAUUCUGGCGGGCAUGCCUGUCCGAGCGUCAUUUCAACCCUCGAACCCCUCCGGGGGGUCGGCGUUGGGGAUCGGCCCUGCCUCUUGGCGGUGGCCGUCUCCGAAAUACAGUGGCGGUCUCGCCGCAGCCUCUCCUGCGCAGUAGUUUGCACACUCGCAUCGGGAGCGCGGCGCGUCCACAGCCGUUAAACACCCAACUUCUGAAAUGUUGACCUCGGAUCAGGUAGGAAUACCCGCUGAACUUAAGCAUAUCAAUAAGCGGAGGA